rnacentral:rRNA from 1 species
AUUGAACGCUGGCGGAAUGCUUUACACAUGCAAGUCGAACGGCAGCACGGGUGCUUGCACCUGAUGGCGAGUGGCGAACGGGUGAGUAAUGUAUCGGAACAUAUCCGCAAGUGGGGGAUAACGUAGCGAAAGUUACGCUAAUACCGCAUAUUCCCUGAGUGGGCAAGGAGGGGAUCCGCAAGGACCUUUCGCGUACGGAGUGGCCUAUAUCAGAUUAGCUAGUUGGUGGGGUAAAGGCCUACCAAGGCGACGAUCUGUAGCGGGUCUGAGAGGAUGAUCCGCCACACUGGGACUGAGACACGGCCCAGACUCCUACGGGAGGCAGCAGUGGGGAAUUUUGGACAAUGGGGGCAACCCUGAUCCAGCCAUGCCGCGUGAGUGAAGAAGGCCUUCGGGUUGUAAAGCUCUUUCAGCUGGAAAAAAAUCGCAUCACCUAAUACGUGGUGUGGAUGAUGGUACCAGCAGAAGAAGCACCGGCUAACUACGUGCCAGCCGCCGCAGUAAGAC